rnacentral:rRNA from 1 species
CAGGUCUUGACAUCCUCUGACACUCCUAGAGAUAGGACGUUCCCCUUCGGGGGACAGAGUGACAGGUGGUGCAUGGUUGUCGUCAGCUCGUGUCGUGAGAUGUUGGGUUAAGUCCCGCAACGAGCGCAACCCUUGAUCUUAGUUGCCAGCAUUCAGUUGGGCACUCUAAGGUGACUGCCGGUGACAAACCGGAGGAAGGUGGGGAUGACGUCAAAUCAUCAUGCCCCUUAUGACCUGGGCUACACACGUGCUACAAUGGAUGGUACAAAGGGCUGCAAGACCGCGAGGUUUAGCCAAUCCCAUAAAACCAUUCUCAGUUCGGAUUGUAGGCUGCAACUCGCCUACAUGAAGCCGGAAUCGCUAGUAAUCGCGGAUCAGCAUGCCGCGGUGAAUACGUUCCCGGGCCUUGUACACACCGCCCGUCACACCACGAGAGUUUGUAACACCCGAAGUCGGUGGGGUAACCGUAAGGAGCCAGCCGCCUAAGGUGGGACAGAUGAUUGGGGUG